GAGGAAGCUUCGCUACAGAAGGGAAGUUAUUAGACCACGCAGCAACAGGAGGAGUCCAAAGGGGAAUUUAGCUAACCUUAUGCUAAGUCAACAGGAACUAGAACAUUCUGCUUCCUGCCCUUUCUGAAAUUUCAUUUCCAUCCCACCAUAUUGACUGUGUAGGUUGAAACAGGAAGUAGCGAGACCUACUUCAGGCAGCAUCUUGUGAAAUCAAGUACCUUAGGCUUGCAAUGGACUAGAAGGGGACCAGAAGUCCGAUUACCUCUGAGAGAAUGCAGUAAAUCCUACCUACUCCUGUCAUCCCCUCACUUGAAGACCACAUGGAAUUUCUUCAUCUAGCAUUUGAUACCUUCUGACAGUAAAAGCAUGAUUUUUUCAAAGACACGGAAUACAAGUAAACAAUCCUUCUCCUUGCCUACAGAAUACGGUGCUCCAUUUUCACCAGCCUUUUGGCAGAAAAAUGAAACUCUGGGAAGACAAUCCAAGAAGGGAAAUAGCAAAAUGCUCUUCACCUUCUAACAUAUCUCCCUAAGGAAAGGCAGUAAAGAAAAUUUCUUAUCCACACUUCCACGGAUCUAUUUCAAGUGCUAUCAAUCCUCCCAACCCCACAAGUUGUGUCACAAUAUAUUUGUAUGGACAAAAGCCAAAAGAAAUUUACCAUUCACCAGCGAGAACUGAAGGAGAAGAGUUCUGGGAGCAGCUCAGAAGCACGAGAUGACAAUAGUUCUCUUCCAGCCCCACUGCUCUGCUGUAAAAAAGGAACUGAACCGUGGCCCUGGUUCCAGGGACAAUCAGUUAAUGUCAACCUCAAAUGCCAGAGAGGAGGAUAACCUGGCAUAAUGGCACAACACUACUGCCUGUCACAUGACAAUCACAGCACAGGAACUUGGCCUGAACCACCCAUAAACCAAAGAAUAUUCAGAACAGAUUGGCCGCGUUUCUGUAUUUUCUAUCUGGCCUUGUUCCAUGUCUAUUCCUGCGAUCUCAUCUCCAACCCUUACUUGUUGCAGAACACUCCAUUCCAAUUACCAAUUGCUUCUUUUGCUUUCCAUUCCAACUAUCAGCUUUGGAUCUUCAGGUGGAUUUUUUUGUUGUUGUUUGCUUGUUUGUUUUUAAUGUAGUGCAAUCAGUUUUCCUCUAUGAGCAUAUGAAAACAGUCCCCUUCAAAGCACGUUCAGUUGCCUCUCAGCACUGAUCACGAUUCAGAUGCCAACCGUAUUUCUACCAACUGAUACUUGAAGUGUUCUCAUAUAAUUCAGCACAAGUAUGUCAAAACCAAUAAGGCAGCUGCCAUGAGUAUAAGGUGCACUGAUUCAGGAAUAAGGUACUCUAAUUCAGGAAUGAAGACACCUAGCAUUGCCUUAUACACAUGUUCCUUAGAGAAAGAUUUUCCUUUUUUUUUUUUCCCCCUAGAACUCCAUAUCUUCAUAACGAAAUAAAUAUAAACCAAAACGUUUAAAAGGUCUUAUAAUCUCAAGGUAAUAGAAAAGAAUGAGUUAAUACAAAGAACUUGCUAAUGUGCAUUAACAUGUUUACUUGCAUGGCAAGUUCACAGAAAGGUAUUUCUGAAACAAACAAUAAUAAAAAAACACUUCAAUUAUGAAGUGUGGCAGAUGUACUUGGAUAAACCUGCCGGAAUUUCUUGAUAGUGCUGACAAGCAGAACUUAAUCAAUAUAUUGCCCAAUUUCUAUGAGGAAAAACAAACAAACAAACAAACGCAACAACAAUCCAGGCAGCAAAUAUUGAACUCAUGAAUUUCAUUUUAUCAACACAGUAAACAGCACAUGGAACAGUUGCCUCCUAUUCGAACAGUUUCAAGGUUUCUUUGGCAAGUUGUGAAGUAUAGGAGCAACCAACAUUAAUCCAGAUCACAUCAUUGGUAUGCAAAAUUCAGUAAUCCUCAUUAAAAAAAAAAAAAAAAAAACAACAACAAAAAAAAACUACUAGGAAAAAAAAAUGUACAAGUUUUCUGAGUCUCUGAAAUCAGACUGUUAUUUGAGCUGGUGUUCAAAAUAGUCUAAGUAUUUGCUUUCAAUUGAAAAGAAAAAUACCAUAUUAUAUUCAGAGAGAGAAAAAGAAGUUUCCAAGUUUACACAUUGACUAAUCAUUACCUUUUCAGAAACUUAGUUAAAACCAAAGGAACUUUUCUUUAAAGUAUUUAUCUACUUCUUUUUUUUCGCCACUGAUGACUAAAUACCAGACAGUUUGAUUGGUGACAGUUUCUAGUCACAAUAAUAAAUAUAUAAUGUUGUAUGUAUGUAUGUGUAAAUACAUAGUGUUGUAUGUAACGUAAAAAGAUGUUUU